GUCAGGAGCAGCCUGUGAUUGGCUCUGCUGGAGAUGGAAAGACCGAGGGAGACAUGGAGCAGGCAGACAUUCAUGAGGCUGCAGCCAGGAAAUUAUAACUUGUUUUAAGUCAAAGAUUACAGUUUAUGCUGCUUAAAAUCCCUCUCCACAUUAAUAUACGAAAAAGCACUUCACAACUGCAGAGAGAGAGUGAGCUUCCCCUCAAACCGAGCUGCACUCGGGGUGGAUUUCUCCAGCAGGUUUUGUAAUGGAAAUGCUGGCAUCCUCUUAAUGAUGAGAUCCUUUCUCUGGGAUGAAAAUGCAGUGACCUAGAAGACUCCAUUUGCAAGUCCUCCUGACCUGCCAGAGAAGAUGCCUGCGGAAUCUAUUUCAGGUGCUGCUGAAAAUGCAGGGAUGUACCGGAGACCUGAGUCCCAGGGAUGAAUCCAGCCUCAGCUCAGAGACGCCGAGCGGUCUCACGCCGUCUUUUCUGCAUAUUCAUAAUGUGUCAGUGUGAAGAGGUCUUUGCUCCCAAAGAAAGGAAAGAGAAAAAAGAAAAGGAAAAGUUCCUUGGAAAGAGUCCUCUCAUCUGAAGGACGUGGCCGCCUUCUCUCCAGCCCCAGAUGUCCUGGUCCAUCUCCUCCCGCCGGCCCCAGAGGCAUCUACUGUCUUGAUAUGUGCAGCCCUAGCUGAGCUGGGCCUCCUUGGGGACCGCAGAAUCAGCACAGCCAUGAACACCUUCUUUGGUUUUUCUCAAUGUUUCUGAGGCUUAAGAAGCCACUGCAUGUGUCAGCGGGAACAGGGUGGAACAAGGUGCAUAAGACUUCCCACCUGGGGAAGGAGCAGCAGCCACCGCCACUCCCAGGCUUCCAGCAUCACUGCAGCAGCUCCAUCACCAUCAGCAUGCGGAGCCCCCUGGCACAUCAUUCAUGGAGGAGGGCAUCUUGGACCUGGAACAGGACAGCACGCCCUUCUCUUCCAAGCCAGCGUCUCCCCACCACAUCCCCAGGGUCCAGCCCUGGGGCUCCGGCUGGGAUUGUGCUGCCUCGACAGCCCCUGAGCCAUGGAGCUGUAAGCGUAUGAAAUGCUCCCUCCUACCCACCCAAGUUUGCUUCCGGUCCUGCUCACCCACGUCACACUCACUCUUCGGGCUCCUGGGGACGCUGCCUAGACAGCCUCGCGUUGCCAGGGUCCUUGCUUGCCACUGAGGCUCUCAGAGAACCUUCAGAAAGGACACAGCCACCAAUCAGGAGCAGUGGGAGGUGCCCCACACAACCGCCCCAGCCCUUCGGGCCCUGGGUGCGGUCACCCACUUUGUUUCUCAAGGGAAAGCAAAGCUCACGGCUCCUGCACCUCUGUCCAGCACGACACGAGUCCUGUGUUUUCUCACCAUCAGAGCCUUACACUGCUUUUCAGUCCUAAGGCCACAUCCGGUUUUUCAUCUUAUUGUACCUUGAAUGAUGGUAUUUUCUUUGUUCACGGGAAGUGCUCGGGCCUUCCGAUGUGAACAGCUAAUGCCCACUACUACCUAUUUCGCUUAUGACACAACGAGCAUGCUCUCUGCAUCUCUGUGCCGACAUCGGAUGUGAAGUUUGACAAGACAGGCGUAAAGGCACAGCUCUGGAGCAUGUCGUCCAACCCCAUAGCCUGGCAGCAGCUCACUGACCGAGUCCUGUGAGCACCCGGGAGCAGCCCUCGACACGGACAUCUCCUUGUUACCGUCAAAUCCACACUUUCUGUAUUUGCCCCACAAAGAUGUCACCAGCAGCUUUGCAAGCACCCUAAUGACAGCCAGGCUCACGGUCUAAAGGACUGAAUGGAAUUCAGUUCCAUCGCUGCAUCUCUCACCACCCUGCCCUGCGUCCACUUCCUUUCCCUGGAUCCGCACAACUGCCUCAUUCCAACCUCACCGCUGGGGAAGAUGUUUCUCCCGUCCUGGUGCCCACAUCUGACAUUGCUGCAUCAACUUCUCUGAAACUUCACCUCCAUCGUGGUGGGACUUGGGACCCAAGACAGAGCUCUCAUCCUCCCUCACACGAGGACAUAACAAGAGCACAGCUGUCUAUGAACUGGAAAUCAAGUCCUCACUAGGCACCAGUUCUGCCAGCGUCUUGACCUCAGAUUUCUCACCUCCAGAAGCAUGAGAAAUAAAUUCCCACUGUUUAUGA